rnacentral:rRNA from 1 species
GGUUAAGCGACUAAGCGUACACGGUGGAUGCCCUGGCAGUCAGAGGCGAUGAAGGACGUGCUAAUCUGCGAUAAGCGUCGGUAAGGUGAUAUGAACCGUUAUAACCGGCGAUUUCCGAAUGGGGAAACCCAGUGUGAUUCGUCACACUAUCAUUAACUGAAUCCAUAGGUUAAUGAGGCGAACCGGGGGAACUGAAACAUCUAAGUACCCCGAGGAAAAGAAAUCAACCGAGAUUCCCCCAGUAGCGGCGAGCGAACGGGGAGCAGCCCAGAGCCUGAAUCAGUGUGUGUGUUAGUGGAAGCGUCUGGAAAGGCGCGCGAUACAGGGUGACAGCCCCGUACACAAAAAUGCACAUGCUGUGAGCUCGAUGAGUAGGGCGGGACACGUGGUAUCCUGUCUGAAUAUGGGGGGACCAUCCUCCAAGGCUAAAUACUCCUGACUGACCGAUAGUGAACCAGUACCGUGAGGGAAAGGCGAAAAGAACCCCGGCGAGGGGAGUGAAAAAGAACCUGAAACCGUGUACGUACAAGCAGUGGGAGCACGCUUAGGCGUGUGACUGCGUACCUUUUGUAUAAUGGGUCAGCGACUUAUAUUCUGUAGCAAGGUUAACCGAAUAGGGGAGCCGAAGGGAAACCGAGUCUUAACUGGGCGUUAAGUUGCAGGGUAUAGACCCGAAACCCGGUGAUCUAGCCAUGGGCAGGUUGAAGGUUGGGUAACACUAACUGGAGGACCGAACCGACUAAUGUUGAAAAAUUAGCGGAUGACUUGUGGCUGGGGGUGAAAGGCCAAUCAAACCGGGAGAUAGCUGGUUCUCCCCGAAAGCUAUUUAGGUAGCGCCUCGUGAAUUCAUCUCCGGGGGUAGAGCACUGUUUCGGCAAGGGGGUCAUCCCGACUUACCAACCCGAUGCAAACUGCGAAUACCGGAGAAUGUUAUCACGGGAGACACACGGCGGGUGCUAACGUCCGUCGUGAAGAGGGAAACAACCCAGACCGCCAGCUAAGGUCCCAAAGUCAUGGUUAAGUGGGAAACGAUGUGGGAAGGCCCAGACAGCCAGGAUGUUGGCUUAGAAGCAGCCAUCAUUUAAAGAAAGCGUAAUAGCUCACUGGUCGAGUCGGCCUGCGCGGAAGAUGUAACGGGGCUAAACCAUGCACCGAAGCUGCGGCAGCGACGCUUAUGCGUUGUUGGGUAGGGGAGCGUUCUGUAAGCCUGUGAAGGUGUGCUGUGAGGCAUGCUGGAGGUAUCAGAAGUGCGAAUGCUGACAUAAGUAACGAUAAAGCGGGUGAAAAGCCCGCUCGCCGGAAGACCAAGGGUUCCUGUCCAACGUUAAUCGGGGCAGGGUGAGUCGACCCCUAAGGCGAGGCCGAAAGGCGUAGUCGAUGGGAAACAGGUUAAUAUUCCUGUACUUGGUGUUACUGCGAAGGGGGGACGGAGAAGGCUAUGUUGGCCGGGCGACGGUUGUCCCGGUUUAAGCGUGUAGGCUGGUUUUCCAGGCAAAUCCGGAAAAUCAAGGCUGAGGCGUGAUGACGAGGCACUACGGUGCUGAAGCAACAAAUGCCCUGCUUCCAGGAAAAGCCUCUAAGCAUCAGGUAACAUCAAAUCGUACCCCAAACCGACACAGGUGGUCAGGUAGAGAAUACCAAGGCGCUUGAGAGAACUCGGGUGAAGGAACUAGGCAAAAUGGUGCCGUAACUUCGGGAGAAGGCACGCUGAUAUGUAGGUGAAGUCCCUCGCGGAUGGAGCUGAAAUCAGUCGAAGAUACCAGCUGGCUGCAACUGUUUAUUAAAAACACAGCACUGUGCAAACACGAAAGUGGACGUAUACGGUGUGACGCCUGCCCGGUGCCGGAAGGUUAAUUGAUGGGGUCAGCGCAAGCGAAGCUCUUGAUCGAAGCCCCGGUAAACGGCGGCCGUAACUAUAACGGUCCUAAGGUAGCGAAAUUCCUUGUCGGGUAAGUUCCGACCUGCACGAAUGGCGUAAUGAUGGCCAGGCUGUCUCCACCCGAGACUCAGUGAAAUUGAACUCGCUGUGAAGAUGCAGUGUACCCGCGGCAAGACGGAAAGACCCCGUGAACCUUUACUAUAGCUUGACACUGAACAUUGAGCCUUGAUGUGUAGGAUAGGUGGGAGGCUUAGAAGUGUGGACGCCAGUCUGCAUGGAGCCGACCUUGAAAUACCACCCUUUAAUGUUUGAUGUUCUAACGUUGACCCGUAAUCCGGGUUGCGGACAGUGUCUGGUGGGUAGUUUGACUGGGGCGGUCUCCUCCUAAAGAGUAACGGAGGAGCACGAAGGUUGGCUAAUCCUGGUCGGACAUCAGGAGGUUAGUGCAAUGGCAUAAGCCAGCUUGACUGCGAGCGUGACGGCGCGAGCAGGUGCGAAAGCAGGUCAUAGUGAUCCGGUGGUUCUGAAUGGAAGGGCCAUCGCUCAACGGAUAAAAGGUACUCCGGGGAUAACAGGCUGAUACCGCCCAAGAGUUCAUAUCGACGGCGGUGUUUGGCACCUCGAUGUCGGCUCAUCACAUCCUGGGGCUGAAGUAGGUCCCAAGGGUAUGGCUGUUCGCCAUUUAAAGUGGUACGCGAGCUGGGUUUAGAACGUCGUGAGACAGUUCGGUCCCUAUCUGCCGUGGGCGCUGGAGAACUGAGGGGGGCUGCUCCUAGUACGAGAGGACCGGAGUGGACGCAUCACUGGUGUUCGGGUUGUCAUGCCAAUGGCACUGCCCGGUAGCUAAAUGCGGAAGAGAUAAGUGCUGAAAGCAUCUAAGCACGAAACUUGCCCCGAGAUGAGUUCUCCCUGACUCCUUGAGAGUCCUGAAGGAACGUUGAAGACGACGACGUUGAUAGGCCGGGUGUGUAAGCGCAGCGAUGCGUUGAGCUAACCGGUACUAAUGAACCGUGAGACUUAACCUU